AUGAAAAGAAAAGCUGGACUGUGCCAAGCUGGUGUGCCUUGUCCCAGUACCGUGAGGACGCAGCCCUGCCCAACCAAGCACCGGGCAGCAGGACUAUGGGCUCAGAGGAUACGAGGAGGUCUCACACCACCACUCAGUCACCACCACCACUUCCCUUGGGCUGGGGUUGGAGAGGGCCAAGCUCUGCUCCUAGCAGCUCUCACAGGAGAUUCAGCGAGGACCUGUGCAGACCCUGGACCUCUUCUCUGUCAAGAAAUUGUUUUUUCCUGUGAAAUGCUACAGGUGCUAAAGACAACUCAAACAGCAUUGCAGGAAGGAGUCCCCAAAGGGGUCCUGAGCGCUGAAUCCGUCCUCACACUGCAGCACAACAGCAGCGCUCGCUACCAGGAGGACCAGAGCUGACACUGCUGCUGAUACAUUUUGUUUUUCCCUUUCUACCUCCAUUGGCUACCACUGCACGUGCCCUCACCUGUAUCAUUCACCACAGAGCGGACAGCGUUACAUGCUGUUUUCUGCGGUCUCCAGCAUUCACUUCGUGGUACCUUCCUGACUUGGGACUUCUUUCUUGCAGUAGUUUGUAUGAAACAUCUCACAGUGCUGCUUUCCAGGAACUCCAUUCUGGACAGGAUUAAUUCCUUUGUGUGGCAAAUUUUAAUUGUUCUAUCAAGGUGUUUUUUUCUUUCUUUUUUUUUUUUUUUUGAGUUUUCCAACCCCUUCCCCUGGUGUUUUGUCCCAAAUCCCAGCCAUAAUAUAUUCUCUCUAAUGAGAGAACAUAAUUGUAAGAUCGGUACUUCAACCUUCUAUUACUCACAGGCUCUUUUAUAGUUUCAUCCUGAGUUUGUACCAAGGUUGUUUUUUUUUUUUCCUAUUGAAAAAUAAGAGGUUGACGUAUUUCAUCUUUCUUGGAGGACCACUGUUCUUGCAUUGUUUUACUACCGUUUUGUACUCCUCUGCUGGAGUUAAGGAAAAGCCACAAAAAGGUGCUGGUUCCCCAAAUCAGCCAUUGUUAAGAAAGAGGGCAGCUGCUGACUCUUUUUAUUCACUAGAAGUGUCAAUAAAUGCUUUCAGUCAUUGUAUGUGUUUCUGAAG
rnacentral:lncRNA from 1 species